AUCAAUUUGUGAAAAUCAUUUUUUAAAUUUAAGAAAUUAAUUUAGAUUAACAAUAGCAAACUUACUUUAGGCUUAAUAUUGUAGUGUCGCUGUUUCAAAUGCCGCAGUAAAAUAUAAAAAAAAAAAUUAAAAAAAAAUCAAUGAAAAGUUCCAGGGAAAGCCGCUUAAAGCAAUAGCAUAGAGAAUGACGGGUUGACUUCUAUAGGCUUAAGUGAAAAUGUAUGCCGUCUAUCAUGAAAUCAUGGACACUUUACCUUCACGUUUAAGGGGACGACAAAUAAACAACCACCAACAUAGAUGAGUGACGACUAUGUGUUACUUGACUUCAUUUCUAUCUUGAAGAGUAAAAGAGUACGAAAUAUAAUUCGCUUUCACUACACACUCUACAGCUGCCUGCAGUUAGGCAAGUAGAAAAGUUUUACUACCUGUGCACUCCUCAGUAAGCCGCUAUAAGCGAACACACACAAGCACAUUAAAUCUCAAACAUUAUGCGACGAGAAUUAACAUCACUUAUGGGCGGUAAAAGGGCUGUGAAAAUUUUAACCUUCCAUAACUUUUCUUACUGGUUUAGCAAAUUCGACCGGACGUAUGCUCGUAACGACCACUUUUUUGAUUCGGAUUAUCACAUGGUAUGUGCGGGAUAAGUUUCAGUGUUCUAUCCGAAACCUUUUGCAAGCGCAAGAGCUCUCUAUCAUACGCUUAUCAGAUACAUACCUAAUACUUCAUGUGUUCUCUCAUGAGCGUUUGCUAGCAAUGCAAACCGUGUGAGAAAACUUGCAUACCAGCGAACACUAAAUUUCUGGUGCGCAUAAAGACUUUGGAUUUUUUACACCCUAUUGGAAGCAUAACAAAUAGUUACAUCUGCAUUUUUGAUAUCACUUAUUCUAAUCAUUUAAAGAUAAACUUGAAAAAAAAAUUGAGAUAAUUUGGAAUAUUUUGUAUGUUGUACUAACAUAAGGGUCUCAGUAAGUUUUUUUUUUAAUUCUAUAUAGAUUUUUUAUCUGCUUCGAUUAUUAGAAGAGCUACACAUUAUCUAAUCAAUGCCAGGAGAAGAAAUUACUAAUAUAUAGAGAGAGAGAGAGAAAGAGAACCUAACACAUUUUCUAUAUAAACAUAUAGAAAGAUAUCGUUUCUAUUUCAAGCGUUCAUAUAUCUCAACAAUAAUAGUCACUUAUUGUAUAAUGUUAUAUGAAUUUUGAUUAAAUUUUAUCGUACAAUCAAACUAUAAACUAUAAAUUUAGUUCUACUUGUUACCUUAAGGAAAAAAAAUAUAAAUAUAU